UCUAUGCUUUUACGAACAGAUCUGUGUCUAUACAAACUGUUUUUCUUCUUGUAGAUCUCUUUUCUUUUGGAAGUAUUCACAAAUUCAUAGAUCCAGACCAGCUUGGUAGUGGUUCUAUUUCAACGCCUGCUCAGUUCUUUCUUUCUUUCAUUUUUUUCCCCAUCUCAAGCCCUAACAUCAAGAAAGACAGCUUCUUUCUUGAAAAAGUAAUCGAGAUUUAACCCAUGCGGUACCUCUUUUCUGGGCAGGUAUACUUCAGCCUGCCUGUUAACUUGUCCACUUAAUUGGUGUCUUGGAUACCAAUCUCGGGAAGCUGAGUGAAGUAAAUAGACCAAGAAAGACAUGGACCGAGAAGCCAGUAGCAGAUUGCAAUUACCUCAAGAUGGUUAUGAGUGGAAAAAAUAUGGUCAAAAAUUUAUCAGGAACAUCGGCAAAUUCAGGAGCUACUACAAGUGCCAAAGGGCCGAAUGCAAUGCGAAGAAGAGAGCUGAAUGGUCAGAGACUGAGCCAGGAGAUUUACGAGUUGUGUACGAAGGGGCUCACAAUCACAGCUCCUCCUUGCAAGAUCAAUCCGGGUCAUCACAAUCUGGUGCAUCCAGCACGAGUGCCAACCAAUAUAACUUACUCAAUCAAGUGUUUGGAGACAACCCACCUUCUGAUUACAGGCGUUCUGGCGAUUAAAAACUCAAUAUAUCAAAGAAUAAUCUAGUUAUGUUGCAAUGAGGCGGUAUUCUAUGAAAAACCAAAUUUUCCUCUUCAUCUUGGAUCAGCAUUUAGUUUCUUUUUGGCUGAAUCCUGGGUAUGUUUGGGUUCUCUGCUGCUAUCUCCUGAUAUGGAACUUGAGUUUGCCUC